AACGAACGCUGGCGGCAGGCUUAACACAUGCAAGUCGAGCGCCCCGCAAGGGGAGCGGCAGACGGGUGAGUAACACGUGGGAAUCUACCCAUCUCUACGGAAUAACGCAUGGAAACGUGUGCUAAUACCGUAUACGUCCUUCGGGAGAAAGAUUUAUCGGAGAUGGAUGAGCCCGCGUUGGAUUAGCUAGUUGGUGGGGUAAAGGCCUACCAAGGCGACGAUCCAUAGCUGGUCUGAGAGGAUAAUCAGCCACACUGGGACUGAGACACGGCCCAGACUCCUACGGGAGGCAGCAGUGGGGAAUAUUGGACAAUGGGCGCAAGCCUGAUCCAGCCAUGCCGCGUGAGUGAUGAAGGCCCUAGGGUUGUAAAGCUCUUUCACCGGUGAAGAUAAUGACGGUAACCGGAGAAGAAGCCCCGGCUAACUUCGUGCCAGCAGCCGCGGUAACAC
rnacentral:rRNA from 1 species